rnacentral:rRNA from 1 species
GAUGAACGCUGGCGGCGUGCUUAACACAUGCAAGUCGAACGGAAAGGCCCGGCUCUUGCGGGGUGCUCGAGUGGCGAACGGGGGAGUGACACGCGUGUAACAUGUCCUUGACUGUGGGAUAACAUCAGGGAACACGGGCUAAUACCGGAUAGGAGCUCCUGAUGCAUGGGGGGCGUUGGAAAGUUUCGGCGGUUGGGGAUGGACUCGCGGCUUAUCAGCUGGUUGGUGGAGUAGUGGCGUCCCAAGUCUUUGACGGGUAGCCGGCCUUGGAGGGUGACCGGCGUCCUUGGUACUGAGGUACGGCCCAGACUCCUACCGGCGGCAGCAGUGGGGAAUAUUACGCAAUGGGCGGACGCCAGAUGCGACAGCGCCGCGUGCGGGAUGACGUCCUUCUGGUUGUAAACCACUUUCGCCUGUGCCGUGGCGUUCGUGACGGUAAUGAGUCAGGAAGCCCCGGCUAACUACGUG